rnacentral:pre_miRNA from 1 species
ACAUUAUUCUAUAAAAAAAAUUCCAAGUGUUGAUGUUCGUAAAAAUGUAAUCAAUGCUUGAUUUUUUUGAUGGAAUUACAU